AUGUCCCCACUGAUGUCCCCAAUGCCCCCAAUGGUGUCCCCAAUGCCCCCAAUGAUGUCCCCAAUGCCCUCAAUGUCCCCACUGAUGUCCCCAAUGCCCCCAAUGAUGUCCCCAAUGUCCCCACUGAUGUCCCCAAUGGUGUCCCCAUGGGGUGUCCUUAAGGAGUGUCCCCACUGCUGUCCCCAAUGGGGUUCCCCACUGAUAUCCCCAAUGCCCCAAUGAUGUCCCCAAUGUCCCCAAUGCCCCCACUGAUGUCCCCACUGACGUCCCCAAUGUUGUCCCCAAUGCUGAUGACGUCACCAAACUGAUGUCCCCACUGAUGUCCCCAAUGCUGUCCCCAUAGGGUGUCCUUAAGGAGUGUCCCCACUGAUGUCCCCAAAGGAUGAGCCCACAGGGGGUCCCCAAUGACGUCACCAAUGACGUCACCGAGCUGACCCCCCCCCCCUUCGGUGUCCCCAUCGCUGUGUUCCAACCCCCCCCCCCCGGGGAGGGACACCAAUGUGUGACAGAGUCACGUGACACCGCCGGGGGGGACACCAAUGUGUGACAGAGUCACGUGACACCACCGGGGGGGGGGGGGGGGGGGGGCCCGGCACUGUGACAACGUCACGUGACACCGCCGGGGACACCGAUGUGUGAUAACGUCACGUGACACCGCCGGGGGAAACCAACGUGCGAUGAGGUCACGUGACACCAACGGGGGAGGGGGCGCUGUGACAGCGUCACGUGACACCGCCGGGGACACCAAUGUGCGACGAGGUCACGUGACACCGCCCGGGAACAGCGCUGUGACAGCGUCACGUGACACCGCCGGGGCACACGGAUGCCUGAUGAGGUCACGUGACACCACCGGGUUUUUUGGGGGGGGGGGGGGGGGGGCGGCACUGUGACAACGUCACGUGACACCGCCGGGGACACCGAUGUGCGAUGAGGUCACGUGAUACCGCCGGGGACACCAAUAUGCGAUGAGGUCACGUGACACCACCGAAGGGGGGGCGCUGUGACAGCGUCACGUGACUCCGCCGGGGACAUCAAUGUGUGAUGAGAUCACGUGACACCAACGGGGGAUACCAAUAUGCGAUGAGGUCACGUGACACCACCGGGUUUGGGGGGUGGGGGCUGUGACAGCGUCACGUGACACCGCCGGGGGGACCAACGUGUGAUAAAGUCACGUGAUACCGCCGGGGGACACCAAUAUGCGAUGAGGUCACGUGACACCGCCGGGGGGACACCAAUAUGCGAUGAGGUCACGUGACACCGCCGGGGGACACCAAUGUGUCACCUCCGGACGUCGCUGUGCCCCAUAGCGCUGUCACUGUGCCCCAUAGCGCUGUCACUGAGCCCCAUAGCGCUGCCACUGUGCCCCAUAGCGCUGUCACUGCGCCCCAUAGCGCCGCCACUGCGCCCCAUAGAGCCAUCCCUGUGCCCCAUAGCGCCAUCCCUGUGCCCCAUAGCGCCGGCACUGUGCCCCAUAGCGCUGCCACUGUGCCCCAUAGCGCUGGCACUGCGCCCCAUAGCGCUGCCACUGUGCCCCAUAGCACCACCGCUGUGCCCCAUAGAGCCAUCCCUGUGCCCCAUAGCACUGCCACUGCGCCCCAUAGCGCCGCCACUGUGCCCCAUAGAGCCAUCCCUGUGCCCCAUAGCGCUGCCGCUGUGCCCCAUAGAGCCAUCCCUGUGCCCCAUAGCGCUGUCCCUGUGCCCCAUAGAGCCAUCCCUGGGCCCCAUAGCGAGACCCCUGUGCCCCAUAGCGCUGUCACUGUGCCCCAUAGCGCUGCCACUGUGCCCCAUAGAGCCACCGCUGUGCCCCAUAGCGCUGCCACUGCGCCCCAUAGCACCACCGCUGUGCCCCAUAGAGCCAUCACUGUGCCCCAUAGUGCUGUCACUGCGCCCCAUAGUGCUGCCACUGUGCCCCAUAGCGCUGCCACUGUGCCCCAUAGCACCACCGCUGUGCCCCAUAGAGCCAUCCCUGUGCCCCAUAGCGCCGUCACUGUGCCCCAUAGCGCUGCCACUGUGCCCCAUAGCGCCGCCACUGUGCCCCAUAGCGCUGCCACUGUGCCCCAUAGCGCUGCCACUGUGCCCCAUAGCACCACCGCUGUGCCCCAUAGAGCCAUCCCUGUGCCCCAUAGAGCCACCGCUGUGCCCCAUAGAGCCAUCCCUGUGCCCCAUAGCACUGCCACUGCUCCCCAUAGCGCUGCCACUGUGCCCCAUAGAGCCAUCCCUGUGCCCCAUAGCGCCACCACUGGGCCCCAUAGUGCCACCAUUCUGCCCUACAGAGCCACCCCUGUGCCCCAUAGCACUGUCACUGCGCCCCAUAGCACUUUCACUGCGCCUCAUAGAGCCAUCCCUGUGCCCCAUAGCACUGCCACUGCGCCCCAUAGCGCCGCCACUGUGCCCCAUAGAGCCAUCCCUGUGCCCCAUAGCGCUGCCACUGUGCCCCAUAGAGCCAUCCCUGUGCCCCAUAGCGCUGCCGCUGUGCCCCAUAGAGCCAUCCCUGUGCCCCAUAGCGCUGUCCCUGUGCCCCAUAGAGCCAUCCCUGGGCCCCAUAGCGAGACCCCUGUGCCCUAUAGCGCUGUCACUGUGCCCCAUAGCGCUGCCACUGUGCCCCAUAGAGCCACCGCUGUGCCCCAUAGAGCCACCGCUGUGCCCCAUAGCGCUGCCACUGCGCCCCAUAGCACCACCGCUGUGCCCCAUAGCACCACCGCUGUGCCCCAUAGUGCUGUCACUGCGCCCCAUAGUGCUGCCACUGUGCCCCAUAGCGCUGCCACUGUGCCCCAUAGAGCCAUCCCUGUGCCCCAUAGCGCCGUCACUGUGCCCCAUAGCGCCGCCACUGCGCCCCAUAGCGCUGCCACUGUGCCCCAUAGCACCACCGCUGUGCCCCAUAGAGCCAUCCCUGUGCCCCAUAGCGCUGUCUCUGCGCCCCAUAGCACCACCGCUGUGCCCCAUAGCACCACCGCUGUGCCCCAUAGUGCUGUCACUGCGCCCCAUAGUGCUGCCACUGUGCCCCAUAGCGCUGCCACUGUGCCCCAUAGAGCCAUCCCUGUGCCCCAUAGCGCCGUCACUGUGCCCCAUAGCGCCAUCCCUGUGCCCCAUAGAACCACCGCUGUGCCCCAUAGCGCUGCCACUGCGCCCCAUAGCACCACCGCUGUGCCCCAUAGAGCCAUCCCUGUGCCCCAUAGUGCUGUCACUGCGCCCCAUAGUGCUGCCACUGUGCCCCAUAGCGCUGCCACUGUGCCCCAUAGCACCACCGCUGUGCCCCACAGAGCCAUCCCUGUGCCCCAUAGCGCCGUCACUGUGCCCCAUAGCGCUGCCACUGUGCCCCAUAGCACCACCGCUGUGCCCCAUAGAGCCAUCCCUGUGCCCCAUAGCGCUGUCUCUGCGCCCCAUAGCGCCGCCACUGUGCCCCAUAGCGCCAUCCCUGUGCCCCAUAGCGCUGUCACUGUGCCCCAUAGAACCACCGCUGUGCCCCAUAGAGCCAUCCCUGGGCCCCACAGUGCCAUCCUUCUGCCCCACAGAGCCACCCCUGUGCCCCAUAGCGCUGUCACUGCGCCCCAUAGUGCUGCCACUGUGCCCCAUAGCGCUGCCACUGUGCCCCAUAGCACCACCGCUGUGCCCCACAGAGCCAUCCCUGUGCCCCAUAGCGCCGUCACUGUGCCCCAUAGCGCUGCCACUGUGCCCCAUAGCACCACCGCUGUGCCCCAUAGAGCCAUCCCUGUGCCCCAUAGCGCUGUCUCUGCGCCCCAUAGCGCCGCCACUGUGCCCCAUAGCGGCUUCCCUGUGCCCCAUAGAACCACCGCUGUGCCCCAUAGCGCUGCCACUGUGCCCCAUAGUGCCACCAUUCUGUCCCACAGCGCCAUCCCUGUGCCCCAUAGCGCAGCCACUGUGGCCCAUAGCGCCAUCCCUGUGCCCCAUAGCGCUGCCACUGUGCCCCACAGAACCACUGCUGUGCCCCACAGAGCCAUCCCUGUGCCCCAUAGAGCCAUCCCUGUGCCCCAUAGCGCUGUCACUGUGCCCCAUAGAACCACCGCUGUGCCCCAUAGAGCCAUCCCUGGGCCCCACAGUGCCAUCCUUCUGCCCCACAGAGCCACCCCUGUGCCCCAUAGCGCUGUCACUGCGCCCCAUAGUGCUGCCACUGUGCCCCAUAGCGCUGCCACUGUGCCCCACAGCGCCAUCCCUGUGCCCCACAGCGCUGUGCCCCACAGCAUCAC
rnacentral:lncRNA from 1 species